GGCUGUUAUUUUUGGGCGCGGCUGUGCCCAUGGCCUAUUUUUGGCACACGGAGGUGCCUCGCAAAGUCUCGCGCCAUUCCGAGUCCGGCGGACGAAGUUGGCCAGCCCCACCCCCCAAGGCUAUAGCCCACCCGUUUUUGUGGGCUUUUUCCGCUGGACGAACUUGGCGCCUCGGCCUUCGGGCUGUUAUUUUUGGGCUCGGCUGUGCCCGCGGCUUAUUAUUGGCACACGGAGGCACCUCGCAAAGUCUCGCGCCAUUCCGAGUCCGGCGGACGAUGUUGGCCGGCCCCACCCCCCAAGGCUAUAGCCCACCCGUUUUUGUGGCAUUUUUCCGCUGGACGAACUUGGCGCCCCGGCCUUCGGGCGGUUAUUUUUGGGCGCGGCUGUGCCCGCGGCCUAUUUUUGGCACACGGAGGCGCCUCGCAAAGUCUCGCGCCAUUGCGAGUCCGGCGGACGAAGUUGGCAAGCCCCAGCCCCCAAGGCUAUAGCCCACCCGUUUUUGUGGCACUUUUCCGCUGGACGAACUUGGCGCCCCGGCCUUCGGGGGGUUAUUUUUUUGCACGGCUGUGCCCGCGGCCUAUUUUUGGCACACGGAGGGGCCUCGCAAAUACUCGCGCC
rnacentral:lncRNA from 1 species